rnacentral:rRNA from 1 species
UAGUCCACGCCCUAAACGAUGCACACUAGUUGUUGCAAUGCUAGACAUUGCAGUAAUGCAGUUAACACAGUAAGUGUGCCGCCUGGGGAGUACGGUCGCAAGAUUAAAACUCAAAGGAAUAGACGGGGACCCGCACAAGCGGUGGAGCAUGUGGUUUAAUUCGACGAUACGCGAAGAACCUUACCUGGCCUUGACAUAGUUAGAAUAUAGCAGAGAUGUAAUAGUGCUAGUUUACUAGAGCUAACAUACAGGUGCUGCACGGCUGUCGUCAGCUCGUGUCGUGAGAUGUUGGGUUAAGUCCCGCAACGAGCGCAAACCCACGUCGUUAGUUACUAACAGUUCGGCUGAGGACUCUAACGAGACUGCCUGGGUAACCAGGAGGAAGGUGUGGACGACGUCAAGUCAUCAUGGCCCUUAUGGGCCGGGCUACACACGUGCUACAAUGGCGACUACAGUGGGCAGCGAACUCGCGAGAGUGAGCAAAUCUA